rnacentral:rRNA from 1 species
CGCGGCCUAUCAGCUUGUUGGCGGGGUAACGGCCCACCAAGGCAACGACGGGUAGCUGGUUUGAGAGAACGAUCAGCCACACUGGAACUGAGACACGGUCCAGACUUCUACGGAAGGCAGCAGUAGGGAAUCUUGCGCAAUGGGCGAAAGCCUGACGCAGCGACGCCGCGUGCGGGAUGACGGCCCUAGUGGUUGUAAACCGCUUUCAGCAGGGACGAAAAUGACGGUACCUGCAGAAGAAGUCCCGGCUAACUACGUGCCAGCAGCCGCGGUAAUACGUAGGGGACAAGCGUUGUCCGGAUUCAUUGGGCGUAAAGAGCUCGUAGGCGGUUCAGUAAGUUGGGUGUGAAAGCUCCGGGCUCAACCCGGAGAGGCCACUCAAUACUGCUGUGACUAGAGUCCAGUAGAGGAGCGUGGAACUCCUGGUGUAGCGGUGAAAUGCGCAGAUAUCAGGAAGAACACCGGCAGCGAAGGCGGCGCUCUGGGCUGGUACUGACGCUGAGGAGCGAAAGCAUGGGUAGCAAACAGGAUUAGAUACCCUGGUAGUCCAUGCCGUAAACGUUGGGCACUAUGUGUGGGGAGGAAUCAACCCUCUCCGUGCCGUAGCUAACGCAUUAAGUGCCCCGCCUGGGGAGUACGG